rnacentral:misc_RNA from 1 species
CUACAAGCCGAUGCUGCUCAAGCGCGCCCACUCGACACACACUCGCAAACAAGCAUGGAGACGUGAUCUGCAAUGCGCUCCUCCCCUUUUCUGCGGUGCUCCAACCUGCACGCGACUGGCUUGGAUGGUGGUCACACCCGCACAACAGCGGCGGGGGCUGCAGAGGUGCGUACACCGGCACGUGGGACUAAGGUUCCGGCCAGCGCUACGUCAACGAAUCCACGCGGAACUUUUAUCGCCGCUACAGCGCCAACUACUACGACCCGAGAUCGGCCGGCUUCACGCGAGAGGAGGUGGCGCAUGCGGAGUGGGCCAUGCGGCUGCACAGGCUGAAGGGCAUCUUGUGGAACUGCCUCGUGUACGGGAGCGCACUCUAUCUGCUGUUCAAGUUUUUGGCGCGGUAGGCGCGCAACGAGGAUACAAGGCAGCUAUGAGCCGUCCCAUAGGCAGCUGGAGAAGGCACGACGACAUGAUCAGCUCCGUCCGAUGCGGCUGUAGAUACCGCCGAACUUUACGGAAGUGCAAACGGCUGGAUACCUCACGGAGUGGAAUGAGCGUUCACGAGAUCGAGAGCUUGCCGCGGUGGAGGGAUGCGCUGCGCCUUCCUGUGAUAGUGUGCCGUCUAACAGGCGACUGAGGCCCCUUAGCGUGUCUGCUACUCGCCCUGUCGUGGGUCUUGACAAUGGAGAUGAUGACGACGAUAGCGACGAUGAAAGCUGAGGCGCGUCUCUUUUUUGGUGUGUGAAGAGCUAUGUAUGGCGCCGUGCCGCUGCUAUGCGUUUUUGACCCCGCUCACUCUUGUUGCUGAUGUGCGGGCUCGCCAGCGUUUUGUCCUUCCUCUCUGCGCGCGCCGAUGGUGGGCGCCGCAACGGGAGGAGCGGGUGGAUGGCGAUAUGGCGCGGCAUUCACUUGCUUGCACUGCAGAAAGACUACGAUGCACAACCGCAGCGUGCCUUCCGACAGAUCUCUGACAUGGCACUGCUCGUUCGUGGCGCAAGCGUGUCGCAAAGAUGGUGCGGGCAUACACAAAGGACAUCUUUACAGUCGUACACGCGGGGUGAAGCAGUCGGGUCCCGCCUCCGCGACACUCGUUCACGCCCAACUGGGAGGCAGGCUUGAUCUCCGCGAACCAGCGACGGCUCUAAAAUCUCCGCUCCACCCACCUUCUAUGCUCCUCUCACGCCCGCCACGACACGUCACAAAG